CCUACGGGUGGCUGCAGUGGGGAAUAUUGGACAAUGGGCGAAAGCCUGAUCCAGCCAUGCCGCGUGUGUGAAGAAGGCCUUCGGGUUGUAAAGCACUUUCAGUGGGGAAGAAAGCCUUGGGGCUAAUACCCUCGAGGAAGGACAUCACCCACAGAAGAAGCACCGGCUAACUCCGUGCCAGCAGCCGCGGUAAUACGGAGGGUGCGAGCGUUAAUCGGAAUUACUGGGCGUAAAGCGCGCGUAGGCGGUCUGAUAAGCCGGUUGUGAAAGCCCCGGGCUCAACCUGGGAACGGCAUCCGGAUCUGUCAGGCUAGAGUGCAGGAGAGGAAGGUAGAAUUCCCGGUGUAGCGGUGAAAUGCGUAGAGAUCGGGAGGAAUACCAGUGGCGAAGGCGGCCUUCUGGACUGACACUGACGCUGAGGUGCGAAAGCGUGGGUAGCAAACAGGAUUAGAUACCCCUGUAGUC
rnacentral:rRNA from 1 species